rnacentral:misc_RNA from 1 species
ACAAACUUGGUCAUUUAGAGGAAGUAAAAGUCGUAACAAGGUCUCCGUUGGUGAACCAGCGGAGGGAUCAUUAUUGAGUUCUAAAAAACUCCCAAACCCACUGUGAACCUACCUAUCGUUGCUUCGGCGGACCCGCCCCGGGCGCCUCCCUUCAGUGGGUGGUGCCCCGGACCCAGGCGCCCGCCGGAGACCCCAACCUUCUGUAUUUUCAGCGUGUAUCUUCUGAGUGUUGAUUUACACAAAUCAAAUUAAAACUUUCAACAACGGAUCUCUUGGCUCUGGCAUCGAUGAAGAACGCAGC